rnacentral:lncRNA from 1 species
GGAUGACCUGGGCCUACUGGGUUGCGUUCAGAGGUGACUUUGAGAUCACGCAGAAAACUCAGAAAAACGAGACUCGAGCAGAGAAAACUUUCAAAAAUGGCUUUGCAAAAUUAAAGAAAAAUCAAUCAAAGGCUUAAUCUUGAAUUGCUAUGCGCACAAAAAGUUGAAGUUUCAAAACUUGAACUAAGACGAUGUUAAAGAAAAAUCAACGUGAAUCAACACGUGGCGUAAAACUUAGAAGACUAAGAAAAAGUUCUAAGAGAAAACAAAGAAACGCACCACAGAAGGGUGUGGGCAGAAGAGAAGGGGCAUAAGAGCCGGGGACAAGAGAGUCAGCAGAAGAGCAGAAGCAUAAGAGAGAGUAAGAGAUAAGAGGAAUAAAAAGAGUGAGCAACCCGACUUCACUGGUUUUAUCUUCUCACACUGGGAGUGGCUCCGGCGUGUGUGUGAGACAGAGGAGGGGUCGUGGAAUCUCUGAUUAUUUGAUCUAACUUAUACUUUUGGCUGGUAAAAGAGUCAGAUCUGAUACUCACUCACUAUGAUUAAUAUCAUUGAAUGCUUGGUUUCAUGAUAAAUAAUUUGACACUAAACACAUAUGAAUGAAGUGUAGGAUCACAUCAAACAUUCUCAUUAUGUUUUAAGUAUCACAUUAAACAUGCUAAAUUACUCUGAAAUGAAACAGAUAGUAACACAUGGAAACUGUGAACAACAAAAGAGUAAAUACAUGUGAAUGAACUUCAUCAUGAUUAAUAAUGGAUUCUAAAUACUCACAUUCAGAUUAUUCAAUGACAUUAUAACCACCUAAUGGUUAAAAAUACUAAAUAAACAUCUACAAUAUAAACCAAACAUUUCUAAACUGUUUCUGUUACCUAGAGUUAAGUUAUGAUUCAUAGUCGAUAAAUUUAACUCUUAAAAGUUCAUGAAACAGUCUGAAAAUCUGUUGGUCUAAAGAACUAAAGAAUAAGGAUUUAUUCUGUCAGAUAAGAUAACUUGGCUUCUGAAGCACAUAGAAAAACGGGAAACAUCUCAUUUUAACACAAAUUUCAUGAUUAGACAGAUUAGUACAUUGCUGAAUGCAUAAGAUGUCAUGAUCAGUCAUUUGUAUUCUUUCACCAAAGGAAUGCAGUCUUUAUCAGUGUAUGGUCGAGCAGGGUUUUACGACCGAGGUCUGGAGGUCAGUGUCCCCCUUUUCCUAGGGUCCGUAUGUUCACACACUUUAAGACACUAAAUCUCAAAUGGGAGAUCUGGGUUGAGACGUUAAUGUUUAUUUAGAUGGUCAGCAAAUGGAGUCAGUUUGAAAGGUAAUAAAACUCUGUCUCUGUUCUCCGAAUUGACCAAUCGUGAAGAGUCAGAGGUUUAGUCAACCUCCUGUUGGGUCACUUAUUUAACCUGAAAGGGCAAACACGUCUGGAAAGAUUUAUCUCCUGUUUCCUGGGACCAGAUAAGGAAGCUUUCCUGUGAGGAAUGUGUGGGUUUCACAUCCAGGGUUGUCUUGAUUGCUACAGUCCCCCCUUCGUCACGGUGGUCCUGUCCAUGGAGCAUCGGGACGACGAGUAGACAACCAUGAAGCAGCAGCAGCAGCAGCAGGUGUAUGCAAAUAGGACUGAUGCGUCUCAUUAUCACUAUGUGAAUCACUAGUAUCUGCUUUAAGAUAACAUCAAGCAUGCAUUAAGCUAUCAAAUAAAAUCGUCUAGGUGUUAGACUUUUCUCAGUUAACUAUUGGUAGACUAAUGUGAAAGAAAAUCUCCUAAUUUUCAGUAUUAAUGAGAUUUAGAAAAGCACUCUUUAGUCUGAAUGCUAACUGGAUCUAAAGCUAUAGCUGUUUUUCAUGCUUGCUGGAGAAGUCUGAAAGUUCAAUUUCAGUUUCAAAAAUGGUUAAGACUUAGGUGGAAAAGAAAUGUCUGCUAUAGACAUAUUAACCAUCUGUGUAUGAGCAUAGUCAACCUGAAUCACAAACAUCAAAAGUUUACUGCACAGAGUUUCUCUUAAACUUUGUCUGUUAAACUUGGGGAUGAUGCUCUUAUCGGUUUGACUAAUUAUCUGCUGUUGAGUCUGAAAUUUGUCAAUCUGAGUCUUAGUGACAGAAAUUUCAGCUUUUAAUCUAUUCAUGGGAUAUUUGACAGCUGACAAGCUGACUAUAUUGACAGAGGAGAGACAAAUGCUAACAAAGAAAGCAGCAACUGGUAUUGCAGUCAUCAAUGUAUCACCACAGCAUUUGGAUAUCUUAUUGGAGUCAUUUAGCUUUGGCUAGGUGACUUCUGCUUUCGCAGGACUCACACCUUCAUGACUCCACAGUGUUAAUCUCAGUGGUUAGCUGAGUAGUCAUGUUUAUUCACCUUCAAAGUGGAUGAAACCGAUUGAGGUGGAUAAUAAGAUCGUCGUUUCUGAGAGUGUGAUUUACUCUGAUUCUGCCAGUCAUUCACCCCACUUUGGCGGUGUUGAUGGUUUUUCCUUUGUCUGGGAUAAAACCCACCGUGACGGGAGUCUGAAUAACAACAGUUGGUCUCAAAGUUUACCUGGCAUUGGUCUGGGUCAGACCUGGGCCUUGGUGUGUAACUUUGACCUUUGUGAGUUUGUUGAGGUCGAAAAGGUUUUGGAGGCCUGGUUAACCACUCAUUUGGAGGCUUAUCGGAGCCUGAAAAAACACAGUCUGAAGCUUCGUUCAGCUCCAUGGGCAGUGAUUUUGUCUCCAUAGCCAAGAGAGUAACGGGCUCUGCUUUCUUAGCCAAAGUUUGUCGUUGUUUGGCAAAACCUUUUACAGCAAGUUCACGAAGCUGUUGGCUAGUCGAAGUGUUUGGACAAGCUAAGACGCCAAGGUGAUGACUGGUGGUAGGGUGGAGGUUCUGGACGAACAGCGUUUUGAAGUUCAAGUCCUCCUCCAUUUCUGGUUCAUUUCGGAAACCAAAGUAAGCUUCGCGUAAGCGGUUGUAAUAAUGUUGGGGAGGUUCUGAUCUCCCUUGUUUAAUAGACAGAGCAGCAGAGAGGCCUGUCUGGGUCAAAUAGUCAGAAAACUCUUCAAUUAAUGCUUGGCAGAGCAAGUCAUAAUUAUUUCUGACAUGAUAAGGCUGUCGUUCUAGGAAACUGCUAACCUCUCGACUUGACGUCGCCUUAAUAAGGUAGAUUUUGUCAUCAACGGUUGCACCUGGAAAUUUCCGCAGGUAAAAGUCAAUGUCUUUCAAGUAGGUGCAGGUGUCAGUAGCACCUUGGUGCUCAGGUUCAAAGCGUGCUAUGAUGCGAGCAAUUUUGUCAAGAUCCCUGUCUGAGGGAAAUGGUAAAAAACCAUCAUGAGGAGGAGAGUAGGACUCUUGGUUUAAGGAUGACCUCUCAGGGUCAAGCAGGGUCCUGUCAUGAUGCUGAGAGAGAUACUUAAGAGUUGGUUUGGAAGGAAGUGAUGGCGCUCUCUCAGGAGGCUGAUCACCUAUCAUUUCUUCAAGAAACGUUUGCUCCAUGCGUUCUCUUUGGGCUCGACCUGACUGGAGGGAGCAUUGUAACUCUCUUUGGGCAUCUUCAAGUUCUUUGUCUGUCUUUUCUUGCCGUUCUUGACAAAGAAUUAACUGUCUUUGAGCUAUCUGGAGCUGGUGCUGUAAGGUAGAAGUUUGCUUCUCCUUAGCUUCAAGAGCUUCAGCACGCACUUUGACCAGUGCUUUCAAAGUUUUUACAUCUUCUGUUGCUUGCUCUAGUAGGGAUUCUGACUGUAUCAGAUCCUCUGUGGUCUUAGCAAGCUGCUUAUUCGUGUCAUCAAGUUCUUUCUCCUUUUUGUAAAGGGUUUCAUUAAGUCUUUCAAUCUUGUCUUUAAGAUCAAGAUUUUCUUCAUGACUUAUCAGUGAGGGAAGCUUUGACGCUUCACAUCUGGCACUAUGUUUUCCUAAAACACUUAGAGACUUCUUAGUCUCCUCUAGCGUCUUUUUCAGAGCGCUGUUUUCGUCUUUUUGCGCCUUUAUCUUUGCUAAAGCGCAUUCCAGCAAGUAGUCUUUAUACUCAAGCUGAGAAGACAUCACGACAGACAUGCAUCUAGUGAGCUCUUUGUCACGAAGUGUCGUGGUUAAAGCUGUUUCCAGUAAGUCAGCCAUUGCAUCCUCCGGAUUGGAGGGUUUGGCCUUUUGAAUCUUAGUCAUGUACUGAAGUAUCAGCUGACUAGUCAAGUUUGCCAACACUGUGUGUAUGUCCCUCAGGGGGUCUCCCUGGCUGGACUCUUUUGUGUUAGGCAUGUUUGGUUUUGGUAAAGAGGUGCAGGUGGUUGGUUGAUGAGUUUGAGUUGGCUUAAAAUGAAAGGAAGAAGCAAAAUAUCAAAUUAAGUGGGUUAAUCGACUUAAUUUAUCUGUGCUUGAUAAAGAGGAAGAGCCUAUCUGAGUAGAUCUCUAAUGGAGAGAAAAAUAACAUAAAGUUAAAUUCAUUUCAAUGAAAAUUGAAAUAAAACAAGGUGAAAUAAUGUUAAAUUAAAUUUAACAUCAGAUACAGAACCAUUGAAUAAAGGGUUCAAUUUGUCUCCGUGUUGCAGAGAUCAGCAAAGCUUAAAUAAACUGCCUGGUGCAGUUGGAUGAAUUUGAAAAAUCAAUGAAAUUGUCAAUUUAAGGAAUUAACUCUGAAAUUAAUUCACAAAUUGCAAUAAAUCCAAAGGUUCAACUACCCAAAUCCAUCUGGAAUGUUAAAAGAAAUUUCAAAUAUUAAUUAAUUUGUGCAUUAAUUAAUUAAUCUUAUGAGAAGGGUUAAUACAUUCAUGUAUUAUAGGGAACAGUAAACUGCUCAAUGGUGUGAUAAGUAACAACAAGAUCAGGUGAUUGAUUCAAGGAGUUACUUUAUCAAUACAUUAUGGAGGCUCUUAUAACAAAGAUAAAAAUCAAAAAUCAAUGAUCAAUGAUUUAGAAUAAGCACAUCAAACUUCAUCAACCAAGUCACUCACUUGAAUUAUGUCUGUAGAGUGUUACACACUGACUACAGAGAGGCAGUACAGCUGGCUGAUACUACAGGCAGAUAAUAGCAGUGUUAGCUCAAUACCAAAAGCAACCAUGUGGGGCAGUAUGGAGUUGGGAUAGCUGCACAAGCUCAACACAAGUGGAGAAGAAGAAGAAAAGAGGAAACAGUCAUCCAACUAGCCUCUUGUGGCUGUGAGGAGUUGGGAAGUGUGCAGGAAGGGGCCUUUAGGCUCUGCCUCCUUGAAGGGCCUUAUCUGCUUAAGGCCAAAUGGUCAGUCUCUCCACUGACAACAAAGGGUUAACAUUUCACAGCAGGCUGCGUCUGCACCCUCAAACAUAGAACUUUACACCAUCUGCUCAGGCAGAUUGGUUCAAUAAAAUCAUUUACAGGAACAAGAAUCAAAGUGACAAAUUCUUAAACAGCAGAUUCAACUGCAGACUUUAAAAUCACAAAUGCGGCGAUUUGUGAUCACAAAUUUUGUCUGAAUUCAUUCAAACAACAACCUCCCACUGUUACAGUGGUUUCCUGUGACAGGUAGUUAAUCUGUCAGGGGAAAGGAGGAAAUCUGAAUCCCAUAUAGUUACUAGAACUUCGUAGCAGACUAUAGAGACAAGAAUCAAAGUGACAAAUCCCUCAACAGCAGAUUCAACUGCAGACUUUAAAAUCACAAAUGCGACGAUUUGUGAACACAAAUUUUGUCUGAAUUCAAUCAAACAACAACCUCCCACUGUUACAGUGGUUUCCUGUGACAGGUAGCUAAUCUGUCAGGGGAAAGGAGGAAAUCUGAAUCCCAUAUAGUUACUAGAACCUCGUAGCAGACUACAGAGACUUCAGGGGCUUGAAACCACAGCUCGGAGCAUCGCGAACACUGGGUUCAGCCAAAGGCCUUAAAUACAAGCGUACAGCGACGCAACAAUCGUGCACUUAAAUAUUGGACAGUCUAGACAGAGCAGAAGAGUCAGUCUCACUGCUACUCAGAACAACAUUUCACGCUGUCCAGCUCAAACACAGACUACAGGCAUGUAGUACAAAAGUGUGUGAAACACAGAGCAUAAAGGUUUUAUGCAUAGAUCAGGAAAACAUCAGAACUUAGUCAAGCAACUUCAGCAAGCAUAGCAUUUAUUGUGAUUAAGUCUAGGAUAGCCUGGAAAUAAGUUUCUCUCAUCAAUUUGGAAGGCUAAGUUUUAGGUUGUCUGUUAGUAUCCAGAAGUUUUGUUUGAAACGCCUCACGCAGGGGCACCAAAAUAUAUGUAGUGAUUUGAAAUGAGCCUCAUACGGUCGCACCAAAAUAUAUGUAGCGAUUUGAAAUGAGCCUCACAAGGCCGCACCAAAAUAAUACUUGGCGAUUGGAAUUUAUAAUAAAUGUCUGAAGAUUAAUAAUCUCAAAUUAUGACAUUUAUGCACUCGUUGAAAGGGGCACCACCCACCCUUAAUGGUGGGAAAAUAAAGAAAACAAAAGUUUAAUUCAGAAAUCAAACAUCAAGUCAGUUUUAAUUAAUCAGUCUUAAUUAAUCAGUCUUAAUUAAUCAGUCUCAUAUCUUAAGUCGAAAUUCUAAUUUCAGGGACUCCACUUCUGGAAGAACACUAACAGACAGGAACUUAGAAAAAUAAUGAUCUGUUUAUUACAGGAUAAAUGAUGGUACAACACACAUGCAAUAAAUGAUGAUAAGAUAAUGAAGAUAGAUAAUAAUAGGUGAAUAAAUAAAGAUUCUGAGUCAGGCUAGGAGCACUAAAGUUAAUGAUAGUGAGUGAAUAUGCGCUAACAUAUUAACCUACACUAACUUUGGUGUCGAGAUAAACUCGGAUGUGGAUUUGGAGGAAUCUAAGAUCACCAGAAAUAGGUGGAUAUCUGAGUUAUGAACGCAUGAGACAGCACCAGCCCUCUUUAGAGCUCUGGAGGUUUGCAUACUUAAGUGAGACUGGUCCUUGGAGAAGAUGGAGCAGGUUCCGAAGGUCCGGGGCUACUGGCGGUUCGAGCGGUUCAGCUCAGAAGACGACUGAAGUCAGCCGAAGGAUGAGCCAGGAGUUGCAGCACUCGGGCCCGAAAUAAAGCCAGCGCCUGUGGAUCCUGUGGAUGCUCGUUUGGGUACUUCUUUGGUCUCACUCAGAAACUCUGGCACAGAGGAUGACCUGGGCCUACUGGGUUGCGUUCAGAGGUGACUUUGAGAUCACGCAGAAAACUCAGAAAAACGAGACUCGAGCAGAGAAAACUUUCAAAAAUGGCUUUGCAAAAUUAAAGAAAAAUCAAUCAAAGGCUUAAUCUUGAAUUGCUAUGCGCACAAAAAGUUGAAGUUUCAAAACUUGAACUAAGACGAUGUUAAAGAAAAAUCAACGUGAAUCAACACGUGGCGUAAAACUUAGAAGACUAAGAAAAAGUUCUAAGAGAAAACAAAGAAACGCACCACAGAAGGGUGUGGGCAGAAGAGAAGGGGCAUAAGAGCCGGGGACAAGAGAGUCAGCAGAAGAGCAGAAGCAUAAGAGAGAGUAAGAGAUAAGAG